UGGGGAAUAUUGGACAAUGGGCGAAAGCCUGAUCCAGCCAUGCCGCGUGUGUGAAGAAGGUCUUCGGAUUGUAAAGCACCUUAAGUUGGGAGGAAGGGCAGUAAGCGAAUACCUUGCUGUUUUGACGUUACCGACAGAAUAAGCACCGGCUAACUCUGUGCCAGCAGCCGCGGUAAUACAGAGGGUGCAAGCGUUAAUCGGAAUUACUGGGCGUAAAGCGCGCGUAGGUGGUUCGUUAAGUUGAAUGUGAAAGCCCCGGGCUCAACCUGGGAACUGCAUCCAAAACUGGCGGGCUAGAGUAGGGCAGAGGGUGGUGGAAUUUCCUGUGUAGCGGUGAAAUGCGUAGAUAUAGGAAGGAACACCAGUGGCGAAGGCGACCACCUGGGCUCAUACUGACACUGAGGUGCGAAAGCGUGGGGAGCAAACAGG
rnacentral:rRNA from 1 species